GAUGAACGCUGGCGGCGUGCUUAACACAUGCCAGUCGAGCGAACAGACGAGAAGCUUGCUGCUCUGUCGUUAGCGGCGCACGUGUGAGUAACACGUGGAUAACCUACCUAUAAGACUGGGAUAACUGCGGGAAACCGGCUCUAAUACCGGAUAAUAUAUUGAACCGCAUGGUUCAGUAGUGAAAGACGCUUUUGAUGUCACUUAUAGAUGCUUCCGCGCCGUAUUUGCUAUUUGGUAAGGUAACGGCUUACCAAGGCAACGAUGCGUAGCCGACCUGGGAGAGUGAUCGGCCACACUGGAACGGAGACACGGUCAAGGCUACUACGGGAGGGAGCAGUAGGGAAUCGGCCGCAAUGGGCGAGAACCUGACAGAGCGACGCCGCGUGUGUGGUGAAGAUCUUGCGAUCGGGAUGCUCUGUUACUAGGUAUAAACCUCUGUCUACGUGGAUAUGCCCGACGUGACGGUACCUGCAGAGAAAGCCCCGGCUAACUACGUG
rnacentral:rRNA from 1 species